UUAUUUACUAUUUUAUAUCUCAUUCUAUUUAUAUUACGAGUAUAGGAAUUUUUAAAUAAUUGUUGAAAGAAUUCUCCUAGACGGCAAUUUCCAUAUCCUAGAUGCCAAAGAUUUGGAGUUGAAACUAUGAUGGGCCCAAUUCAUCCUCCUCUCUCUACAUCUUGCAUACAUGCAGCACCUCCUUCUUCUCUAUCUUGUUAUAGCACGUUUUUUUUUAUGGAUUGUUGUUUCCUGAAAAUAAGUUAACAUAUUUUAGUAUAUCUGACAGAUAAAAUGGAGUUUAAUCGAGUGGAUUAAUUCGUGCACCUCUUCGUCCUCCUCAGAUCCUAGGGGCAAGGCGAAGAAACCAAGGACUAUCACAAAGGUGGCCCUCAUCAGUAGAGUCAAGCAAUCUCAAAGAAAGCCACUUAGGUGGCUGUUCCACGACCAAGUAAUCCUCCAUUGGAUGCUCAUUAAUGAAGAAUUAAGCCUGAUUUGGAGGAUGUUUACCUUGGUUGCCACAUCGAGAUCCUCGGUUCCUCGCAUGGGGGGACAUCUGUCCCCUUUCAUGUCUACGUGCGGAGCUCACAGAUGAAAUUUGUUGGGGGGAUUUAGGAUGGAGGAACCAACCAUCUAGUUGUUGGACCCUUGGAUUGCUACAAAGCUAGAUGGUGAUCCAGCACCAAAUUCAAUGGUGGUCUUCCUUCCAUGGACAUGCUUGGAUUAACAUUCUGUAAGGUCAACAAGGUUCAUGUGGAUUUGUGUAAUCUCAAAACAGUAUCAAAUCCUUCAAUGUAAAUGACAAGUGCAAUAUAUGUUCAUUUUCCCAAUCGA